CAGCAGCCGCGGUAAUACGUAGGUGGCAAGCGUUAUCCGGAAUUACUGGGUGUAAAGGGAGCGUAGACGGUUAAACAAGUCUGAAGUGAAAUGCCGGGGCUCAACCCCGGAGCUGCUUUGGGAACUGUAGAACUGGAGUGUCGGAGGGGUAAGCGGAAUUCCCAGUGUAGCGGUGAAAUGCGUAGAUAUUGGGAGGAACACCGGCGGCGAAGGCGGCUUACUGGACGACAACUGACGUUGAGGCUCGGAGGCGUGGGUAGCAAACAGGAUUAGAGACCCCCGUAGUCCCUGUCUCUUAUAU
rnacentral:rRNA from 1 species